CCUACGGGUGGCAGCAGUGGGGAAUAUUGCACAAUGGGGGAAACCCUGAUGCAGCGACGCCGCGUGAGUGAAGAAGUAUUUCGGUACGUAAAGCUCUAUCAGCAGGGAAGAAAAUGACGGUACCUGAUUAAGAAGCCCCGGCUAACUCCGUGCCAGCAGCCGCGGUAAUACGUAGGGGGCGAGCGUUAUCUGGAUUUACUGGGUGUAAAGGGAGCGUAGACGGCAGCACAAGUCAGGAGUGAAAUACCGGGGCUUAACCCCGGAACUGCUUUUGAAACUGGGCAGCUAGAGUGCAGGAGAGGUAAGUGGAAUGCCAAGGGUAGCGGUGAAAUGCGUAGAUAUUAGGAGGAACACCAGUGGCGAAGGCGGCUUACUGGACUGUAACUGACGUUGAGGCUCGAAAGCGUGGGGAGCAAACAGGAUUAGAUACCCUUGUAGUC
rnacentral:rRNA from 1 species